UACGUAGGGUCCGAGCGUUGUCCGGAAUUAUUGGGCGUAAAGGGCUCGUAGGCGGUCUGUUGCGUCGGGAGUGAAAACUUACAGCUUAACUGUGAGCGUGCUUUCGAUACGGGCAGACUUGAGGCAUUCAGGGGAGAACGGAAUUCCUGGUGUAGCGGUGAAAUGCGCAGAUAUCAGGAGGAACACCGGUGGCGAAGGCGCUCUGCUAGGCCGCAACUGACACUGAGGGACGAAAGCUAGGGGAGCGAAUGGG
rnacentral:rRNA from 1 species